UCGCGAAAACUUUACAAUGCACGAAAGUGUGAUAGGGGAAUCCGAAGUGCUUACACAUUAGUGUAGGCUUUUGCCAAUAGUAAAAAUAUUGGAGAAUAAGUGGUGGGCAAGACCGGUGCCAGCCGCCGCGGUAACACCGGCGCCACGAGUGGGGACCACGUUUAUUGGGCUUAAAGCGUUCGUAGCCUGUUUGGUAAAUUCUUUGUGAAAUCGUUGCCCUUAAUGCAACGGCGUGCAGAGAACACUGCCUGACUAGGAACCGGGAGGGGUCAGAAGUAUGCCUUGGGGAGCGGUAAAAUGCUAUAAUCCUAGGUAGACUACCUUUGGCGAAGGCGUCUGACUAGAACGGAUUCGACGGUGAGGAACGAAAGCUAGGGGAGCGAUCUGG
rnacentral:rRNA from 1 species